CGGUCAGCAGCUCGGGAUCAGAGCAGAAUCUGAUUCAAUGCUUUUAAUAAUGACCCACCCAGUGCCGUGAUGUCAUCAGCGUUCAGCCUACAGCCGCAGAGCUUCAGCGCUCUGAUCCCGCCCACAUGUCGGAGGUGAGAGGUCAGCGCUUCCAGACAUCCGCCAAUCAGCUCGUUCCAGGAGACGUCCAGCUCCUCCAGCUGAGGGAGAAACUGGAGCAACGUGGCUGACAGGAAGAAGACGAGGAAGAAGAAGGAUGCCCAUCAACAUCCGGCGAAGGGACUGCAGCCUAUCAGGAACCACCUGAGCUCUGUCCUCUCUCCUCCCGGCCCUCCGUCUCUCCGUCCUCGGGGAUCCCCGUCCGGUCCGAGCUCCAGGACAGGAGGCGUCCCAGCGGCUUCCUGUCUGAGGCCGUGCGCUUCCUGCGGA